rnacentral:rRNA from 1 species
GAUGAACGCUGGCGGCGUGCCUAAUACAUGCAAGUCGAGCGAACGGACGAGAAGCUUGCUUCUCUGAUGUUAGCGGCGGACGGGUGAGUAACACGUGGAUAACCUACCUAUAAGACUGGGAUAACUUCGGGAAACCGGAGCUAAUACCGGAUAAUAUUUUGAACCGCAUGGUUCAAAAGUGAAAGACGGUCUUGCUGUCACUUAUAGAUGGAUCCGCGCUGCAUUAGCUAGUUGGUAAGGUAACGGCUUACCAAGGCAACGAUGCAUAGCCGACCUGAGAGGGUGAUCGGCCACACUGGAACUGAGACACGGUCCAGACUCCUACGAGAGGCAGCAGUAGGGAAUCUUCCGCAAUGGGCGAAAGCCUGACGGAGCAACGCAGCGUGAGUGAUGAAGGUCUUCGGAUCGUAAAACUCUGUUAUUAGGGAAGAACAUAUGUGUAAGUAACUGUGCACAUCUUGACGGUACCUAAUCAGAAAGCCACGGCUAACUACGUG